GAUGAAGAACGUAGCGAAAUGCGAUAAGUAGUGUGAAUUGCAGAAUUCAGUGAAUCAUCGAAUCUUUGAACGCACAUUGCGCCCCAUGGUAUUCCGUGGGGCAUGCCUGUUCGAGCGUCAUUUACCCCCUCAAGCUCCGCUUGGUGUUGGGCGUCUGUCCCGCUUCGCGCGCGGACUCGCCCCAAAGGUAUUGGCAGCGGUCAUGCCAGCUUCUCGCGCAGCACAUUGCGCUUCUCGAGGCACCGGUGGGCCCGCGUCCAUCAAGCUCACCCCCCCAGUUUGACCUCGGAUCAGGUAGGGAUACCCGCUGAACUUAAGCAUAUCAAUAAGCGGAGGA
rnacentral:misc_RNA from 1 species